GAUGAGUCUGCGCCCGAUUAGCUAGUUGGUGAGGUAAGAGCUCACCAAGGCGACGAUCGGUAGCUGGUCUGAAGGACGGCCAGCCACACUGGACUGAGACACGGCCCAGGCUCCUACGGGAGGCAGCAGUAGGGAAUAUUGCACAAUGGAGGAAACUCUGAUGCAGCGACGCCGCGUGAGUGACGAAGGCCUUCGGGUUGUAAAGCUCUGUUCUCAGGGAUUGUACCUGAGGAGAAAGGACCGCUAACUUCGUGCCAGCAGCCGCGGUAAGACGAGGUCCAAGCGUUGUUCGGAAUUAUUGGGCGUAAGCGGGUGUAGUGGAUCUAUAAGUCAGAAGUGAAGCCCCGAGCUUAACUUGGGAAGGCUUUUGAUACUGCAGUCUUGAAUGUGGGAGAGGACGUGGAAUCCAGGUGUAGUGUGAAAUACGUAGAUAUCGGAAGGAACACCAGUGGAUCACAGUGAAUUCGC
rnacentral:rRNA from 1 species